rnacentral:rRNA from 1 species
GUGGGGAAUUUUGGACAAUGGGCGCAAGCCUGAUCCAGCAAUGCCGCGUGCAGGAUGAAGGCCUUCGGGUUGUAAACUGCUUUUGUACGGAACGAAAAGCCCUGGGUUAAUACCCUGGGGUCAUGACGGUACCGUAAGAAUAAGCACCGGCUAACUACGUGCCAGCAGCCGCGGUAAUACGUAGGGUGCGAGCGUUAAUCGGAAUUACUGGGCGUAAAGCGGGCGCAGGCGGUGCUGUAAGACAGGCGUGAAAUCCCCGGGCUCAACCUGGGAAUUGCGCUUGUGACUGCAGUGCUGGAGUGCGGCAGAGGGGGAUGGAAUUCCGCGUGUAGCAGUGAAAUGCGUAGAUAUGCGGAGGAACACCGAUGGCGAAGGCAAUCCCCUGGGCCUGCACUGACGCUCAUGCACGAAAGCGUGGGGAGCAAACAGGAUUAGAUACCCCAGUAGUCC